rnacentral:rRNA from 1 species
AACACAAACGACUCUCGGCAACGGAUAUCUCGGCUCUCGCAUCGAUGAAGAACGUAGCGAAAUGCGAUACUUGGUGUGAAUUGCAGAAUCCCGUGAACCAUCGAGUCUUUGAACGCAAGUUGCGCCGGAAGCCAUUUGGCGGAGGGCACGUCUGCCUGGGCGUCACGCAUG